AGCCGUGCGGUGGGCACAGAGCGAACUAUUCUUUCGCCUUUUACUAAAGAAUACCGUGUGCUCGCCGCAGAUAGCGGCAUACGCUUAUUUUUGAAGGGUUCUCUUCUCUUUAGAAGAGC
rfam:Populus trichocarpa isolate Nisqually-1 chromosome 13, whole genome shotgun sequence.